UUUUCGAUACUAAAGCCCUCUCAUCUUUCUUCUUCUCCUUUAUUUUCACAUGAUUCUUCUCUUUUCUCUUUCUUUGAUUAUUCUUCCGUAUGUUUUUUUUUUUGUGGACAUCAACAAUGAACCGAUACAAAGAUUGAUUGAGAUCGGUCAGGUCUGAACGAAACAGCAAAUGCAUACACUCAUUUGUCGUUACGUUCAGACCUAGACCGAUCUUGGUUAGUAUCUUCCAACCGUGUUCAGACCUAGACCGAUCUUGCCGCAGAUUGUAGAAAAGCAGGGAAGCCUUUAUAGAUUGAGGAGGUGGAGGUUGCUCCACCAAAAGCUUGGGAAGUUCACUCUUGUCACACUGAUGUAACUUUUUGGAAGAUGGAAAGUCCACCUGCAAUAUUUCCAACAAUAUUUGGACAUGAGGCUAUUGGGUAAACUCAAUAACUCAUUCCCAUUCCCCAAAGAAAAUAAACCCAAAUUUAUGUUUUGAUUCUAAUGGUCUCUUAAUCUGGGGAUGUGGAAUGAUCGUGGAAAUUGUUGGAGAAAAUGUAAAGGAAGUGAAGGAGGGAGACACUGUGAUUCCAGUAACCUUAACUGAUUGCCAGGAUUGCAUUGCAGAGACUGCAACUCAAAGAACAGUAACUAAUGCUCCAAAUUUCCUUUCAUGGUUUCCCUACCGUUGCCCAGAGACGGCACGACCCGAUUCACAGUUUCAAAAGGAGAGGUGGUUAACCAUUUUGUGUAUAUAUCUCCAGUUUUAGCGAGUACACUGUGGACAUUGCCAAUGUAAUCUAGAUAGACCUUCCAUUCCUCUUAACAGGGCAUGUCUACUUGGUUGUGGGAUUUCAACUGGUAAACAAAGAUCAAACCCAAAAUUUCCUGGAACCCGUUAAGAAUUUCUUCUUCUUCUUUUCCUUAUUUUAGAUUUAAAAAUUAAAAUAUGGGAAAAGUCUAAUUGCAGGGGUUGGAGCAGCUUGGAAAACUGCAAAUGUGGAAGCAGGGACCAGUGUGGCUAUAUUUGGCUUAGGAGCUAUUGGUUUAGCUGAGAUUGGAUUUGACGAGUUCGGGACACAAGAGGUGCAAUUUGAGGACAUCAAUAAAGCUUUUGAUUUACUCAUCAGUGGAAAGAGCAAUAGUUGUAUAAUUUGGAUGGACAAACAAACCCCUCCUCCCAUGUAAAUCAGAGAUCGAAGGAUGGUUUCCAACAUUUCAGAAACACAAUAUAUAAUAAGAGAUAUUUCAUUGUUUCCUCAAGGGGGGAUAAUAAGUGAGCAAACCAUCCUUCUUUAUCUUGAACCAAUGUAUCUUUGAAAAUUGAUUUCCAUUGGAUCUGAAUGAAUAAAUAGUAGUUUCCGAAAAA